UGCCCCAUGCUAUGGGGUAAUUCCUGCCCAGUGACUCGUUCAACGGCCGCGGUAUCCUAACCGUGCAAAGGUAGCAUAAUCAUUUGCCUAUUAAUUGUAGGCUAGAAUGAAAGGAUCAACGAAAUAAAAACUGUCUCAAUUAGUCCCCUAAAAAUUAUUCUCUAUCUGAAGAAAGGUAGAUACUCGUAGGACAAGAAGACCCUAUAGAGCUUUAUUUUAAUUAUAGAAUAUAAAAAUAUUCGGUUGGGGCGACCCAGGGCUUAAUAAUCACCCCAAUAAAAGAUAGAUAAAUCAUGACCCAAAGAUCAUAAAACCAAGCUACCUUAGGGAUAACAGGCUAAUCCCACUCAAGAGUCCUUAUCAACAGUGGGGUUUGGCACCUCGAUGUUGGCUUAGGGUAUCUAUAUAGCGCAAAAGUUAUAUAAAGAUGGUUUGUUCAACCAAUGAUUCCCU
rnacentral:rRNA from 1 species